CAGCCGCCGCGGUAAUACCAGCUCUCCGAGUAGUGUGGACGUUUAUUGGGCCUAAAGCAUCCGUAGCUUGCUAGAUAAGUCCUCUGUUAAAUCCACCGAUUCAAUCGUUGGAUUGCGGGGGAUACUGUUUGGCUAGGGGACGGGAGAGGUCGACGGUAUUUCCGGGGUAGGGGUGAAAUCCUAUAAUCCCGGGAGGACCACCAGUGGCGAAGGCUGUCGACUAGAACGCGCCCGACGGUGAGGGAUGAAAGCUGGGGGAGCGAACCGGAUUAGAUACCCGGGUAGUCCCAGCUGUAAACGAUGCAGGCUAGGUGUUUGGGCGGCCACGAGCCGCUCUAGUGCCGCAGGGAAGUUGUUCAGCCUGCCGCCUGGGGAGUACGGCCGCAAGGCUGAAACUUAAAGGAAUUGGCGGGGGAGCACCACAAGGGGUGAAGCUUGCGGUUUAAUUGGAGUCACCGCCGGAAAUCUCACCGGGAUCGACAGCAGUAUAAAGGCCAGAUUAAAGGUCUUGCUAGACGAGUUGAGAGGAGGUGCAUGGCCGUCGCCAGUUCGUGCCGUGAGGUGUUCUGUUAAGUCAGGCAACGAUCGAGACCCGCGUCCUCUGUUGCUACUGGUUUUGUGCCAGGCACACUGAGGAGACCGCCGCUGAUAAAGCGGAGGAAGGAGCGGGCCACGGCAGGUCAGUAUGCCCCGAAUAUCCCGGGCCACACGCGAGCUGCAAUGGCAGGUACAAUGGGUUCCGACCUCGUAAGGGGAAGGCAAUCUCGAAAGCCUGCCGUAGUUGGGAUCGAGGGUUGAAACUCACCCUCGUGAACAUGGAAUCCCUAGUAAUCGCGUGUCACUAGCGCGCGGUGAAUACGUCCCUGCUCCUUGCACACACCGCCCGUCGUUCCACCCGAGCGACUCCUGGGUGAGGCGUGGUCUUCCUUGGCUGCGUCGAAUCUGGGUUUCGCAAGGGGGGAAAAGUCGUAACAAGGUAACCGUA
rnacentral:rRNA from 1 species